AGUGAACGCUGACAGAAUGCUUAACACAUGCAAGUCAACUUGAAUUUGGGUUUUUAACUUCGGUUUGGGUGGCGGACGGGUGAGUAACGCGUAAAGAACUUGCCUCACAGCUAGGGACAACAUUUGGAAACGAAUGCUAAUACCUAAUAUUAUGAUAAUAGGGCAUCCUAUAAUUAUGAAAGCUAUAAGCGCUGUGAGAGAGCUUUGCGUCCCAUUAGCUAGUCGGAGAGGUAACGGCUCACCAAGGCGAUGAUGGGUAGCCGGCCUGAGAGGGUGAUCGGCCACAAGGGGACUGAGACACGGCCCUUACUCCUACGGGAGGCAGCAGUGGGGAAUAUUGGACAAUGGACCGAGAGUCUGAUCCAGCAAUUCUGUGUGCACGAUGAAGUUUUUCGGAAUGUAAAGUGCUUUCAGUUGGGAAGAAACAAAUGACGGUACCAACAGAAGAAGUGACGGCUAAAUACGUG
rnacentral:rRNA from 1 species